AGGUAGAUAGGCUGGGGGUGGAAGUGCAGCAAUGCAUGGAGCUGACCAGUACUAAUCGGUCGAGGGCUUAUCCAAUUU
rnacentral:rRNA from 1 species